rnacentral:ncRNA from 1 species
UUUCCUUCAAAAUAGCUAAAACUCGUGUGAGUAUUUUAUUAAGUAAAAUAAAUAAUAAAUGAUAUCAGGAAUGUAACAUCCUUGAUCUAUUUUCAAACUUUAAAUAGGUCAGCUGCCAAAUUUGCUUGGUUGAAUCCCAACAUAAAAUGAGGGGUCCAAAUAGGCCAUUUUGGUAAGCAAAACUGGUAAUAUAAGAUGAAUCA